rnacentral:tRNA from 1 species
CGCGGGGUGGAGCAGCCCGGUAGCUCGUCAGGCUCAUAACCUGAAGGCCGCAGGUUCAAAUCCUGCACCCGCAA